CGGGGCGUGGCGCAGCCUGGUAGCGCGCUCCGUUCGGGUCGGAGAGGUCCCGAGUUCAAAUCUCGGCGCCCCGA
rfam:Conexibacter woesei DSM 14684, complete genome.